GGGCACCACCAUGAAUCCCCUCCUUGAGGCCAUGGAAUUAUGUCCAAGAACCACACUAUGUUACAUCCAACCACCAAACAUGUCUCAUACAUUCACAUACUUUCAAUUUAAUAGCAUUGUCAAACAAUAACAGUACCAGAAGAACCACUAAACAACACAAAACCCCGUAAAAUCAUACUUAGACAAAGAAAAUGACUUUGAAACCAUCCCCAACAGUUUCAGAAAGGUCCAAAAC
rnacentral:lncRNA from 1 species